rnacentral:rRNA from 1 species
GACGAACGCUGGCGGCGUGCCUAAUACAUGAAAGUAGGCCGCAGUUGCGAACGGGUGAGUAACGUGUAGGUAACUCCAUAUUAGAGGGGGAUAACUAUUGGAAACGGUAGCUAAUACCGCAUAAGAGUAGAUGGAACUGAGUUGUAUUAGCUAGUAGGUAGGGUAAAGGCGUACCGAGGCAACGAUACAAAGCCGACCUGGGAGGGUGAUCGGCCCCACGGGGACUGAGACAAGGCCCAGACUCCGACGGGAGGCAGCAGUAGGGAAUCGUCGGCAAUGGGGGGAACCCUGACCAAGCAACGCCGCGUGAGUGAAGAAGGUUUGCGGAUCGUAAAGCUCUGUUGUUAAGGAAGCGGUACUUAACCAGAAAGGGACGGCUAACUACGUGCCAGCAGCCGCGGUAAUAC